ACCUGCCCCUGACUCUGGGAUAAGCGCUGGAAACGGCGUCUAAUACUGGAUAUGUGACGUGACCGCAUGGUCUGCGUCUGGAAAGAAUUUCGGUUGGGGAUGGGCUCGCGGCCUAUCAGCUUGUUGGUGAGGUAAUGGCUCACCAAGGCGUCGACGGGUAGCCGGCCUGAGAGGGUGACCGGCCACACUGGGACUGAGACACGGCCCAGACUCCUACGGGAGGCAGCAGUGGGGAAUAUUGCACAAUGGGCGCAAGCCUGAUGCAGCAACGCCGCGUGAGGGACGACGGCCUUCGGGUUGUAAACCUCUUUUAGCAGGGAAGAAGCGAAAGUGACGGUACCUGCAGAAAAAGCGCCGGCUAACUACGUGCCAGCAGCCGCGGUAAUACGUAGGGCGCAAGCGUUAUCCGGAAUUAUUGGGCGUAAAGAGCUCGUAGGCGGUUUGUCGCGUCUGCUGUGAAAUCCGGAGGCUCAACCUCCGGCCUGCAGUGGGUACGGGCAGACUAGAGUGCGGUAGGGGAGAUUGGAAUUCCUGGUGUAGCGGUGGAAUGCGCAGAUAUCAGGAGGAACACCGAUGGCGAAGGCAGAUCUCUGGGCCGUAACUGACGCUGAGGAGCGAAAGGGUGGGGAGCAAACAGGCUUAGAUACCCUGGUAGUCCACCCCGUAAACGUUGGGAACUAGUUGUGGGGUCCAUUCCACGGAUUCCGUGACGCAGCUAACGCAUUAAGUUCCCCGCCUGGGGAGUACGGCCGCAAGGCUAAAACUCAAAGGAAUUGACGGGGACCCGCACAAGCGGCGGAGCAUGCGGAUUAAUUCGAUGC
rnacentral:rRNA from 1 species